CACAAUUAGGUUUUAAACGGCUACAGGUUUGAAGCCUGCACCCCGGACCUCCGAAGUUCAUCUGGGC